GGCUGGAUGGCAGAGUGGCUAUGCACCGGAUUGCAAAUCCGUGUACCUCGGUUCGACUCCGGGUCCAGCCUCCA
rnacentral:tRNA from 1 species